UCAAGCGACUAAGUGCAUAUGGUGGAUGCCUUGGCGAUCACAGGCGAUGAAGGACGUAGUAGCCUGCGAAAAGCUACGGGGAGCUGGCAAACAAGCUUUGAUCCGUAGAUGUCCGAAUGGGGAAACCCACUGCAGCAAUGCAGUAUCCCUAGCUGAAUACAUAGGCUAGUGGAAGCGAACCGGGUGAACUGAAACAUCUCAGUAGCUCGAGGAAAAGAAAUCAACCGAGAUUCCGAAAGUAGUGGCGAGCGAAAUCGGAAGAGCCUUUACGUUUUAGCAUGCAAGAUAAUCGAAGGGGAUGGAAAGCCCCGCCGUAGCAGGUGAUAGCCCUGUAGAUGAAAUUUUGUGUGUGGAACUAAGCGUAAGAAAAGUAGGGCGGGACACGUGAAAUCCUGUUUGAAGAUGGGGGGACCAUCCUCCAAGGCUAAAUACUCGUGAUCGACCGAUAGUGAACCAGUACCGUGAGGGAAAGGCGAAAAGAACCCCGGAAGGGGAGUGAAAUAGAUCCUGAAACCGUAUGCAUACAAACAGUAGGAGCCUCCUUGUGGGGUGACUGCGUACCUUUUGUAUAAUGGGUCAGCGACUUACAUUCAGUGGCAAGGUUAACCGAAUAGGGAAGCCGUAGCGAAAGCGAGUCCGAAUAGGGCGAUUCAGUCGCUGGGUGUAGACCCGAAACCAGAUGAUCUAUCCAUGGCCAGGUUGAAGGCACGGUAACACGUGCUGGAGGACCGAACCCACUAAUGUUGAAAAAUUAGGGGAUGAGCUGUGGAUAGGGGUGAAAGGCUAAACAAAUCUGGAAAUAGCUGGUUCUCUCCGAAAACUAUUUAGGUAGUGCCUCAAGUAUUACUGCGGGGGGUAGAGCACUGUUAUAGCUAGGGGGUCAUGGCGACUUACCAAACUAUGGCAAACUCCGAAUACCCGCAAGUACAGCUUGGGAGACAGAGCACCGGGUGCUAACGUCCGGACUCAAGAGGGAAACAACCCAGACCGCCAGCUAAGGUCCCGAAUUAUCGCUAAGUGGGAAACGAAGUGGGAAGGCAUAGACAGUCAGGAGGUUGGCUUAGAAGCAGCCAUCCUUUAAAGAAAGCGUAAUAGCUCACUGAUCGAGUCGUCCUGCGCGGAAGAUGUAACGGGGCUAAGCGAUAAACCGAAGCUGCGGGUGUGCACUUUUAGUGCACGCGGUAGGAGAGCGUUCUGUAAGCCUGCGAAGGUGGCUUGUAAAGGCUGCUGGAGGUAUCAGAAGUGCGAAUGCUGACAUGAGUAGCGAUAAAGGGGGUGAAAAGCCCCCUCGCCGUAAGUCCAAGGUUUCCUGCGCAACGUUCAUCGGCGCAGGGUGAGUCGGCCCCUAAGGCGAGGCAGAGAUGCGUAGCUGAUGGGAAACUGGUUAAUAUUCCAGUACCGUCGUACAGUGCGAUGGGGGGACGGAUCGCGGAAGAUCAUCAGGGUGUUGGAUGUCCCUGUUGCUGCAUCGAAGAUGGCGCUUAGGCAAAUCCGGGCGCGUAAAUCAAGGGUGUGGCACGAGCGAGCAUUGCUUGCGAAGUGAUUGGAAGUGGUUCCAAGAAAAGCCUCUAAGCUUCAGCUGUACGAGACCGUACCGCAAACCGACACAGGUGGACGGGAUGAAUAUUCCAAGGCGCUUGAGAGAACUCAGGAGAAGGAACUCGGCAAAUUGAUACCGUAACUUCGGGAGAAGGUAUACCCCGGUAGUGUGAAGCGCCUGCGCGCUUAGCAUGAUGGGGUCGCAGAGAAUCGGUGGCUGCGACUGUUUAUUAAAAACACAGCACUCUGCAAAGACGAAAGUCGACGUAUAGGGUGUGACGCCUGCCCGGUGCCGGAAGGUUAAGUGAUGGGGUGCAAGCUCUUGAUCGAAGCCCCGGUAAACGGCGGCCGUAACUAUAACGGUCCUAAGGUAGCGAAAUUCCUUGUCGGGUAAGUUCCGACCUGCACGAAUGGCGUAACGAUGGCCACACUGUCUCCUCCUGAGACUCAGCGAAGUUGA
rnacentral:rRNA from 1 species